CGAAGAGUCGACGUCUGUCGCCUCCUCGCGUCACAGAUCAUCUUGUAGAUCCUUUGAGAUCCGCUUCUUCUUGCCUGGUUGUAAGACUCGCGAUCUUGCGAGGCAAUCGACUGAGAGUUUCCGCUGUGUUUAGUUUUGCAGGCUGAGACGAGGUUCGUUCGGAGCCAUUUAGACUGUGUUGCUUCUUUCGGAACGCAAAGGUUGGACAAGAAGCUUCUUGACAUCGGCGUUACACGACUCCUGUGCCGUCUAGUACAACGAGGAACUCUGUUUGACGACGGAUCGGUGAUGCUUUAGAGCACGGCGAUGGUGGGAUGAUUCUGAUUUGGCUGAAAAGUCAAAAGGAAAUAGAUGGUCGCGAUCUAUGAUUGAUUUUAACAGUUCGAUUCACGAUUGAGAUUUUAGAUGUUUUAGACUAGUUGCAGAUGCCUUAGAAUGUGAAGAUAGUCGGUCCAAUAUGUUUGGAGAAUCGAAA
rnacentral:misc_RNA from 1 species